rnacentral:lncRNA from 1 species
GAACUGGACUGAACUGAAAAUCCUACAAAGAAAGGGCUAUUGUUAUCAUUCCUACUUUAGAGAAAGUCAAGGCACAGAGAAAUCACAUAGCUUGUUUAGAGUCAGAGCUUCGUGGAGAUGGAGCUGGGGCAGUUCCUGGUUUGCAGAGUUGAAACCUGAAACUACUGUACUAACCAAACCUGAGGUUGGCUGGGGCUUGUGUCAAACUUAACAUCAGUGAGGCCACACACCNNNNNNNNNNNNNNNNNNNNNNNNNNNNUGGAUACAGAGUUUUGGUACCUUGGAAUGGCUUGCCUGAGAGUGAAAAACUAUUGGAGGAGUUUCAUGUGUGUGGUGAGGUGAGGUCAUGUAGGGCGAAGAGAGGAAAAAAGAGAGUGAUCCUUACUUUGAAGAAGAGAGUGUAUUGAAUAUUUCACACAGGACACCCAGAAAUCAGACCUUCAUCUUCCUUUCACCCUCUGUCUUGCCCUCACUGAGCACACUUAAAGAGAAAAUGAAUUCUGCCCAUUGAAAAAGGGCAGACUGCAAUGAAAAACAACUUUAAAGAUAUUUCAGUAUAUAAAGUCUUUGAGCUACAUCACUGACAAUGGUUUACAAGUUUAUUUUCCACUUGCAGUUGUGCUGAGCAGACACUUCGGGAAGUGUGGCAGUAAUUCAGGCUGUGGGCUGCAGCAGCAUCUGCUGGGCGUCCCAUCUGUACAAGAGCGGGUUGUCCUAGACAGUCAGGUGCAGAUUUAUCCAGACACGUCGUCUGCAAAAUGGCCAGCCAGGAGAGAUUUAAACAUUCUUUUCCUCACCCUUUUUGCUAAGUAUACAAUUCUAAGAAAGCAGAUUUCCCAGCAAAGACUUUUCUCCACCUCCACCCAAAGAAGAAACAAACUUUGAACAGAGGAAAGACAAUACAGGCUCUAAGUCCAUGUUUCAGUGUCAGCGCCUGGCACUUGUUGAUUGGCAACCUUGAGCAAACCCUCUGAAUUAGAAAAGAUUUCAUUUGUAAAACGGGCUGUGGGGGCAGUUAAAGGAGAUAAUAGCCAUUAUCUUCUUAUGCUACAUAAAAACAGCUGAUUUUUUUUAGUUGUCUGUUCCGAGCAGCACUUAGCAUAGCAGUGGCACAUAAUCCAUGCUGCAUGACUGGACAUAUGACUGACUCUAUCCACUGAAAAUGAC